AUGGCCGAUUUGAAAAACCUUACACUAGGAGGAGGGAUCAAAUAUAACGGUGACGAACAGGUUCAGUUCAUUGCCAGCGGAAGUCAUCAGGUGACGAUAAGAUCGCCGCCACCAGCUCUGCACCUCGAAAACCUCAACAACGCUGUCAUGGGGGGAUCACAGAACAAUAUUCACUGCAGCUGUAACGGAGCGACGUCUAAUGGGUCAGCGGUGUCCGCGGUGGCAGCCGGAGUUCUCGCGCGAAAAAUCCCUAAUCACAGCGGGGCGAGCCCUGGAGGACAAGGGAAUGGAAAACGUCCCGCGGUAUCGCUCACCCAUCUCCCUAAGCGGCCACCCGUCGACAUAGAAUUCAAAAAUUUAGCCUACAGUGUUUCCGAGGGCAGAAAAAGAGGGUACAAGACUAUUUUAAAAUGUGUAAACGGAAAGUUCAGAUCGGGAGAAUUGACGGCAAUAAUGGGACCCUCUGGCGCAGGAAAAAGCACCCUGAUGAAUGUCCUAGCUGGAUACAAGACUUCCCACCUGAGCGGUUCGGUUUUGAUAAACGGCAAGGAUAGAAAUCUUCGCAGAUUUCGUAAAAUGUCAUGCUAUAUCAUGCAGGAUGACCGUCUACUACCUCACCUAACGGUCUACGAGGCUAUGACAGUUUCGGCGAAUUUAAAAUUAGGAAAGCACAUUAGUUUCGCCUCGAAAAAAGUGGUGAUCGAGGAAAUCAUCGACACUCUCGGCCUUAGCGACGCGAGUAAUACCCAAACUCACAGCCUCAGCGGAGGUCAGCGAAAAAGACUGUCAAUUGCUUUGGAACUGGUAAACAACCCCCCUGUGAUGUUCUUUGACGAGCCAACUUCCGGUCUGGACAGUUCGUCUUGCUUCCAGUGUCUCAGUUUACUCAAAUCUCUCAGCAGAGGAGGUAGAACGAUAAUCUGCACGAUCCAUCAGCCGAGUGCAAGAUUGUUCGAGAUGUUCGAUCACUUGUACCUGCUGGCCGAGGGUCAGUGUAUCUAUAAAGGUAACGUGGGUGGACUCGUACCUUUUCUCUCUUCGAUGUGCCUCGACUGUCCGAGUUAUCACAAUCCAGCGGAUUACGUGAUGGAAGUGGCUUGCGGGGAACACGGCGAGUGCGUUCAUAAACUAGUGAUGGCGGUGAAUAAUGGGAAAUGCAACAAUUAUCAGCAUCAUCAAGCAGCUCUCGCUGCUGCUCAAACGGUGUCGAAUGAUAUAGCGAAAAAGUCACCGCCUCAGGAUCAAACUAAACCGGAAGCAUCGGCGUUAAUUCCGAAUGGGGUAGCCAAAACACCAGGAGGUGCUACUGUGAUAAACGUACCUGUCUCUUGUACAACAUCGUUGCUGGACAGUGCCGAAAGUAUAGAGCAAAAGGUCGGCUUUCCAACGAACGGUUGGACACAAUUUUGGAUACUUUUGAAAAGGACGUUUUUAUCACAGAUAAGAGACAUGACUUUGACAAGAGUAAGGCUGAUUUCACACAUAAUCGUCGGAUUUUUAAUCGGCGCUAUCUACUACGAUAUAGGAAACGAGGCUUCUAAAGUGAUGAGUAACGCAGGUUGCGUUUUUUUCACAGUUAUGUUCCUCAUGUUCACCGCUAUGAUGCCCACUAUCCUUACUUUUCCUGUAGAGAUGGCGGUCUUCGUCAGGGAACAUCUCAACUACUGGUACUCCCUCAAGUCAUUUUACUUUGCAAGAUCGCUAGCUGAUUUACCAUUUCAAAUUCUGUACUCAAUAGCUUAUGUAAUGAUCGUAUACUUCAUGACCUCGCAGCCGUUGGAAGCCGAGAGGUUUUUAAUGUACCUUGCGAUUUGCAUAUUAACAUCGUUGGUAUCACAAUCGAUCGGUUUAUUAAUUGGAGCUGCCAUGAGUGUGGAGAGCGGAGUAUUCAUCGGCCCGGUAACAUCUGUACCGAUAAUAUUAUUCUCCGGUUUCUUCGUCAACUUCGACGCAAUUCCAAGUUAUCUGAAAUUCCUAUCGUACGUGAGUUACAUUCGUUACGGAUUCGAAGGUGCCAUGAUAUCGGUGUACGGUAACAAACGUGCGAAGUUAACUUGUUCGGUUGAUUACUGUCACUUUAGAAGUCCCAAAAAGUUUUUAGAAGAAAUGUCAAUUCAGAACGGAGUCUAUUGGAUAGACGUAGUAGCGCUAUUAGGAUUUUUCAUUGGUCUUAGAGUCAUCGCGUAUUUCGUUCUAAGACUGAAACUAAGAUCCUUGCGUUGACCGACCAACACUCUCUUCAAACUUCUGAGGGAUUUUGCAAGAUUAGCUAAAUUUUUUUUCACGCUUAUAAAUAUGUAGCAUUCCCACCGUCCGCAAGUCAAUCGUAUCAUAACGAUUUACCGGCGAAUGAUUACCGGGUGAAGAAAUUUGAUAAUUAAUCUUUAAGGUAUUUGCUCGUAGUCGAAUCAACGAAUCAAGAGAAGAAAAGAAUGGCACUGGUCUUUCUUUCUAGCAAAGAUUCACCUUCGAUUUAGUUGACUCAUGUAUUUAACUGUGUCCCUUGUAUUUUUUUUUUUUUUUUUUUUUCCUUUCGAACCACCAACUUCGCGCCCUCGGGAAGAAGAUAGAGGGGAAAAGGAAAUUAUUCAACUUGUCGAUCGCGUGUGCGAAUUUGAUGAAACAUGAACGGAUGAUUGACUAUCCAGACGGUGAUGAUCUUAAGGGAGAGUUCGUGACCCCGCAAGUGGAUUAAAACGAUAAAGAUAAAAUAGUCGAAAAGUUGUUUAUAUCAAUUGGAGUGAGAAUGAUAAUAAGCCACAGCAACAGUCGUAGCAGCAGAGAUGAAAAAUAACAAAUAACAAAUAGGUAAUGCAAAAAAAAUUAUGCGAAUCACGAAACUUAAUAAUUGAAUCUAUUAAUCACUAAAAAUAUUCUGCGUUUAUAUGGUCAUUACAAAUAAAUGCAGUGUACUACAAUUUGUCACUGCCCAGUGAAUAAAGAGGUGUGUAUAUGUAUACCGCGAUCAUCGCUAUUCAACUACUGUAUUCUUACGUACGGUAUAUGCUAUACAAAUCCGUUUAUUCGAUAAUGUCGUACGUGACGGCUGACCCGGUAAAUGGGACGUUGUAUUUGCCGACCAUAAAUUAGUAAGAAGCCUGAAUUGUCACAUACGUACCGGAUGGCCUGAGGGACCGUGUGUUAUUAUAUAAAAUAUAAGUACAUGAUAUAAUACUUGAAAUGAAGAAUAUAAAUGUAUAUAUAUGCAGCAAAAGUUACGAGACUAUUGGGAACAAUGAUAAUAAAAUGUGAUCAACUAAUUUGGGCACCAUAAGAGAGAUGACGAGUGUUUUGAAUACGAAUUUGAGAGAAAUAAAUGAAUAAAUAGAAGAUAUUCUAUUCGUGAUUAUCGUAACUGGGUCUUGAAAUUUUCGCUUCGAAGUUUAAAUCUCCAGCACGUUGUUACGAUUUUAUUGUCACUGAUAAAGAGCGUUGCGAAAGUUUCUUCAUUUGCUUUCACUCUCAAGUUUUCCUUUUUUUCAUCACUAUGUUCUUAUAUGAUUUACAUUAAACGAGAUUUCAAUGAAAAAUCCGUAGGUCGUCGAUUUUAGGAAUCAGAUUACAGGUACAAAUAGGUAUAAUAUGUAUUUGGGCAAAAAGUUUAGUUACCACCUGAUAACAAUAUCGAUAUGGCCGCAGUAAGCAACUGGCCAGGAAUUUAGAUACUAUUAAAUUUGUAUUCCUCUUUAAUUACAUAAUAUUAAACUGAUGAGGAAUUUUCUGAUUUUUUGAAAAUCAUGUCAACAUAAUUUUCUGUCAAACUAACCCGAGUUUUCGGUUAAAGUGUACCCGAGUAGUGCCGUUGUAACGCGUGGAUAACAGUAGAAUGAAUUAAAUGAGAAAAGAAGAUAUGUAGAGAAAAUGAAAGGAAA
rnacentral:misc_RNA from 1 species